GGGUGCAGUGUUGGGCCAACAAGAGGCAGAAGGUGGUAUAGACAUGACGGCCUGGGGCGGGGGGCCUUGGGGAGGGAUCUGAAGGCUGGCCGUGGACUAGCUCCCUCCUGGCUGUCCUUUCAAACCGUUGUGUGCCUGUUAUGGUGCAGCUGGAAGCUUCUGAUUCUGACACUGAGAAAACAAGUGGGCGUGUAGGAGGGUGGCAUUUUCAGAGGAAGCCACAGCCCGAAUGUGUGGAAUGUGCGAUUCCGGCUCCCACGGAGGCCCAUGCAGGGGCGGGAGCGCACAGCCGGCGCCUGGGGGCAGCGGUUAACCGAGGACUGCAGGAUUGCUUCGCUGAGCCGGGUCCCUCCAGCCUCCUCUUCCAGAAGUGCGUUCAGUGAUGCCAGGGGAACAGCUUUUCUUUGCACCCAGGAGCUCUGCCCCUUCUGUUCAGCUUGACGGCCGUGAGACUUGCCAAUGGCUACCAGUUGAACAUGGAAGAAUGAUGGCCUUUGAAGAAAAGACGCUCUGGCUCCACUGUGAUGAAGACAGUGCUUUCUGAGAUGAGCUGACUUAAGCAUUUAGGAGUCCAAGGUGCUCCUCUGCAGAAGCCGGCUCACCCUCUGCUGCCUUUCCUGACCUGAAACCUGCCACCCGGGGAUGCAAAGGAGGGAUGCGGGGAGAGAGAGACGACCCCUAGUGGGGGAGGCUGCAGAGGCUCCACACACAAGGGCACACACUCCCGCUUUCGGAGAUGCUGAACCCACACCCUUGGCUCCAGUGGCUCAGGACCUCCUGUCCAGGCUGCGUUCCUCAGUUUCAGGGCUGGGUAUCUGUGCACUGCUCCCUUAGGAAGCAGUUAUGUGGCAGAUGUAAGAACAAACACACAAACACAGCACCAACUCAGGCAAACGACUUUCAAAACAGAAAUGAAUCUAUAUAAUUAUGAUAUAUUAGAAAAGUACUUGUAGGAAAAUUUUUUUAACCGAAAAGCACUUAAUAGAACAGCAUUUGUAAGCAACUCUUCAAUCACUGCCAAUGGUUCCAUUAAGGUAGUGAGAUAUGGGUAAAUUAUCUUUUUUCUUUUACUUACACAGUUUCUAUAAUGAACGUGGAGUAAUUUGAUAGUAAUCAAGGAAAAAUGAGUUUCCUCGUAAUGUUCAGAACAACAAAACUGGCGACUCUCCGUAUGGACUGACCCGUGCGGAGCAGGAGAGGCUCCCAGCUCCGGCUUCCUCAGCCCUGCAGCUUUUCCAGGGCUGGUUGUCCCAGCACAUGGGAGUGAUUACAAGGACGUGUGUCUCUCUGAACCUUAGUGUAACGGCAGCCGAUGUGACAGUCGGGGUGUCAGCCUUAAUCCGCUGUCUUCAUAAAUUCUGAGUGACGUGAGAUUAGCCUAACAACGGUUCCGUCAAAAGGAAUAUUUUGAAUUUUUAAGCAGCAGUCUGAGUUCUUUCCCUCAAUUCCUCCUUGGUUUAAAAUGAGAUUGGAUUAACAAUUCAGUUAAAUUUCAGCAUUUAAGUGCCAGUUGAUUCAGAAGCUAUAAUUUGACCAGCCUGAAGCUUUUCUUUGCUGAAUAUAUUCUUUAUGCAAUGAAACUGUGAAAUCAGUGCAGUGGCUCCACAUCAAUGACAGUCAAAGAGUAAAUGCUUUAAAUAGAAUAAACUAUUCAAAAUAAUUUUUCA
ensembl:lncRNA